GAUGAACGCUGGCGGCGUGCCUAAUACAUGCAAGUCGAGCGAACAGACGAGGAGCUUGCUCCUCUGACGUUAGCGGCGGACGGGUGAGUAACACGUGGAUAACCUACCUAUAAGACUGGGAUAACUUCGGGAAACCGGAGCUAAUACCGGAUAAUAUAUUGAACCGCAUGGCUCAAUAGUGAAAGACGGUUUUGCUGUCACUUAUAGAUGGAUCCGCGCCGCAUUAGCUAGUUGGUAAGGUAACGGCUUACCAAGGCAACGAUGCGUAGCCGACCUGAGAGGGUGAUCGGCCACACUGGAACUGGGACACGGUCCAGACUCCUACGGGAGGCAGCAGUAGGGAAUCUUCCGCAAUGGGCGAAAGCCUGACGGAGCAACGCCGCGUGAGUGAUGAAGGUCUUCGGAUCGUAAUACUCUGUUAUUAGUGAAGAACAAAUGUGUAAGUAACUAUGCACGUCUUGACGGUACCUAAUCAGAAAGCCACGGCUAACUACGUG
rnacentral:rRNA from 1 species